rnacentral:rRNA from 1 species
CCUACGGGAGGCAGCAGUCGAGAAUCAUUCACAAUGGGGGAAACCCUGAUGGUGCGACGCCGCGUGGGGGAAUGAAGGUCUUCGGAUUGUACACCCCUGUCAUGUGGGAGCAAAUUAAAAAGAUAGUACCACAAGAGGAAGAGACGGCUAACUCUGUGCCAGCAGCCGCGGUAAUACAGAGGUCUCAAGCGUUGUUCGGAAUCACUGGGCGUAAAGCGUGCGUAGGCUGUUUCGUAAGGCGUGUGUGAAAGGCGCGGGCUCAACCCGCGGACGGCACAUGAUACUGCGAGACUAGAGUAAUGGAGGGGGAAGCGGAAUGCUCGGUGUAGCAGUGAAAUGCGUAGAUAUCGAGAGGAACACUCGUGGCGAAGGCGGGUUCCUGGACAUUAACUGACGCUGAGGCACGAAGGCCAGGGGAGCGAAAGGGAUUAGAUACCCCAGUAGUC